AGUGGCGGACGGGUGAGUAACGCGUGGGUAACCUGCCUCAUACAGGGGGACAGCAGCUGGAAACGGCUGGUAAUACCGCAUAAGCGCACAGUACCGCAUGGUACGGUGUGAAAAACUCCGGUGGUAUGAGAUGGACCCGCGUCUGAUUAGGUAGUUGGUGGGGUAACGGCCUACCAAGCCGACGAUCAGUAGCCGACCUGAGAGGGUGACCGGCCACAUUGGGACUGAGACACGGCCCAA
rnacentral:rRNA from 1 species